rnacentral:tRNA from 1 species
GCGGACGUGGCGGAAUUGGUAGACGCACCAGAUUUAGGUUCUGGCGCCCCUGGCGUGAGAGUUCGAGUCUCUCCGUCCGCACCA